UGUGAGCUCGAUGAGUAGGGCGGGACACGUGGUAUCCUGUCUGAAUAUGGGGGGACCAUCCUCCAAGGCUAAAUACUCCUGACUGACCGAUAGUGAACCAGUACCGUGAGGGAAAGGCGAAAAGAACCCCGGCGAGGGGAGUGAAAAAGAACCUGAAACCGUGUACGUACAAGCAGUGGGAGCCUCUUUAUGGGGUGACUGCGUACCUUUUGUAUAAUGGGUCAGCGACUUAUAUUCUGUAGCAAGGUUAACCGAAUAGGGGAGCCGAAGGGAAACCGAGUCUUAACUGGGCGUUAAGUUGCAGGGUAUAGACCCGAAACCCGGUGAUCUAGCCAUGGGCAGGUUGAAGGUUGGGUAACACUAACUGGAGGACCGAACCGACUAAUGUUGAAAAAUUAGCGGAUGACUUGUGGCUGGGGGUGAAAGGCCAAUCAAACCGGGAGAUAGCUGGUUCUCCCCGAAAGCUAUUUAGGUAGCGCCUCGUGAAUUCAUCUCCGGGGGUAGAGCACUGUUUCGGCAAGGGGGUCAUCCCGACUUACCAACCCGAUGCAAACUGCGAAUACCGGAGAAUGUUAUCACGGGAGACACACGGCGGGUGCUAACGUCCGUCGUGAAGAGGGAAACAACCCAGACCGCCAGCUAAGGUCCCAAAGUCAUGGUUAAGUGGGAAACGAUGUGGGAAGGCCCAGACAGCCAGGAUGUUGGCUUAGAAGCAGCCAUCAUUUAAAGAAAGCGUAAUAGCUCACUGGUCGAGUCGGCCUGCGCGGAAGAUGUAACGGGGCUAAACCAUGCACCGAAGCUGCGGCAGCGACACUAUGUGUUGUUGGGUAGGGGAGCGUUCUGUAAGCCUGCGAAGGUGUGCUGUGAGGCAUGCUGGAGGUAUCAGAAGUGCGAAUGCUGACAUAAGUAACGAUAAAGCGGGUGAAAAGCCCGCUCGCCGGAAGACCAAGGGUUCCUGUCCAACGUUAAUCGGGGCAGGGUGAGUCGACCCCUAAGG
rnacentral:rRNA from 1 species